rnacentral:rRNA from 1 species
AACCCCAUGGAGGACCGAACCGACCCCCGUUGCAAUGGUGGCGGAUGACUUGUGGAUAGCGGAGAAAUUCCAAUCGAACUCGGAGAUAGCUGGUUCUCCCCGAAAUAGCUUUAGGGCUAGCGUUAUGUUAGAUUACCGGAGGUAAAGCACUGAAUGGUGGCGGGGCCGAUAAGGUUACCAAGACCUAUCAAACUCUGAAUGCCGGAUAAUUGAUGCAUAGCAGUCAGACAGCGUGAGAUAAGUUUCGUUGUCAAAAGGGAAACAGCCCAGACCCACAGCUAAGGUCCCAAAUUCAUGCUAAGUGGAAAACGAUGUGGAAUUGCGAAAACAACCAGGAUGUUGGCUUAGAAGCAGCCACUCAUUAAAAGAGUGCGUAAUAGCUCACUGGUCGAGUGACUCUGCGCGGAAAAUGUAACGGGGCUAAGCGUAACACCGAAGCUUGGGAUGCAGCAAUGCAUGGUAGGGGAGCGUCGAAUACGGGGUGAAGUCGCAGCGGGAGCAGCGGUGGACUGUAUUCGAGUGAGAAUGCCGGAAUGAGUAGCGAGAAUUAUGUGGGAAUCAUAAUGGCCGAAAAUCUAAGGUUUCUUGGGGAAGGUUCGUCCGCCCAAGGUAAGUCGGGAGCUAAGCUCAGGCCGAGAGGCGUAGGCGAUGCACAUACGGUAGAAAUUCCGUAACCACCGAAACUUAAACAGAGGGACACUUCGAAAUAGCGGAACCCGGGCGUUGGUUGACCCGGGCGAAAGGGAGCGAAAUUAGAGUAGCGAAGUCCGCGAUGUUCGGAGGCGAGAAAAGCUCUGAGGUAUGCUAAGGUGCCCGUACCGCAAACCGACACAGGUAGAUGAGGAGAGAAUCCUAAGGCCAACGGGAGAAGGGUUGUUAAGGAACUCGGCAAGUUGACCCCGUAACUUCGGAAUAAGGGGAGCCUCGCAAGAGGCCGCAGUGAAAAGGCCCAAGCAACUGUUUACCAAAAACACAGGUCUAUGCUAAAUCGAAAGAUGACGUAUAUGGGCUGACGCCUGCCCGGUGCCGGAAGGUUAAGAGGAGAUGUCAGGCAACGAAGCAUUGAAUUUAAGCCCCGGUAAACGGCGGCCGUAACUAUAACGGUCCUAAGGUAGCGAAAUUCCUUGUCAGGUAAGUUCUGACCCGCACGAAAGGCGUAAUGAUUUGGGCACUGUCUCAACAGCCCGCCCGGCGAAAUUGUAGUACUGGUGAAGAUGCCAGUUACCCGCAACUAGACGGAAAGACCCCAUGGAGCUUUACUGCAGCUUAAUACUGAAAUUCGGUAGUACAUGUACAGGAUAGGUGGGAGACUGAGAAAUACAGGCGUCAGCUUGUAUGGAGUCGCUGUUGGGAUACCACUCUUGUACUGCUGGGUUUCUAACCUGCGGCCGUGAAUCCGGUCGGGGGACACUGUUAGGCGGGCAGUUUGACUGGGGCGGUCGCCUCCUAAAGAGUAACGGAGGCGCUCAAAGGUUGGCUCAGCACGGACGGAAAUCGUGCAGUGAGUGUAAACGUAGAAGCCAGCCUAACUGCGAGACCGACGGGUCGAGCAGUAACGAAAGUUGGAGUUAGUGAUCCGGUGGUAUGUGAGUGGAAAUGCCAUCGCUCAACGGAUAAAAGCUACCCUGGGGAUAACAGGCUGAUCUCCCCCAAGCGUCCACAGCGACGGGGAGGUUUGGCACCUCGAUGUCGGCUCGUCACAUCCUGGGGCUGUAUUCGGUCCCAAGGGUUCGGCUGUUCGCCGAUUAAAGUGGCACGCGAGCUGGGUUCAGAACGUCGUGAGACAGUUCGGUCCCUAUCUGUUGCGGGCGUAAGAGAUUUGAAGGGAGCUGUCCUUAGUACGAGAGGACCGGGAUGGACGUACCUCUGGUGCACCAGUUGUCCUGCCAAGGGCAUAGCUGGGUAGCUAAGUACGGACGAGAUAAACGCUGAAAGCAUCUAAGCGUGAAACUCCCCCUAAGAUGAGAUCUCUCACCUCGAAAGAGGGUAAGGGCCCAGGAAGACUACCUGGU